UACAGUGUUGAAAUUUCGUUC
rnacentral:piRNA from 1 species